rnacentral:tRNA from 1 species
UCCCUGGUGGUUGAGUAGUAAAGAAUCUGCCUGCAAUGCAGGAGACCCGGGUUUGAUCCCUGGGUAAGGAA